UUCUACCGUAGAUAAAGUUUGAUCCAACGCUCAGAUCUUCUCCUUAGUGUGUUUCUUUCUUCCCUUAUCUUAUUCUCAACCUUUAAUUCUCUGUCUUUCCUCUGUCAUCUUAUCCUAACAAUUACUUCUCUUUUUCUUCAUAUACAGAAUCAAAUUUCUUAAUUUGUAUAUGUUAAGUUUCCCAUCGCAUCUUUUAGAGAUGCCUCACAUCUGCAAUGGAAUUCUUUCCGGGAGACAUGUUUAGAAUCGAAGGUGGAUGAGGCAGAAGAAGAUGAUGUUUGGUGGUAAAGAGGAACCUUGUGGUGGAGCGCGAAUACAUUUCUAUCUCUCCCGGUCUCGUGAUUCCUCUCAGCUUCAAGCCAUCUGGCUUUGUGGUGCUCGUUGACCUUUACGGCUGCUCUGAAUCCGGCCCAAGAGAAUCGCUUUGGCCAUGCUUAAGAGAAUCAGUGCAGGCACGACUUACGAAACAGCCGCCAGUUCGAAGAUUUCAACAUGAGCCUUUGCCUCCGGUGUCCCUCCUCCGCCCCGCUCCACUUCUGACUGCCGCGACUUCACUCUCUCCGGUCUAUCCGUUACUUCACUCCAGCCUUUCCGUCACUUCACUCCGGCGUCUCUUCUCUGUUUGGCUCCAUGCUGUCUGAAGGUGUGACUCUGCUCAAGCUACUCCCCUCGAGUCAGGUAGAUUCAGCAGAACAACGGUUCGUUCUAGGUGAGAGGACCUUGUCGGGGAACCUUGUCGCUCCUCCUCCUCGUUCCCCAGAGCCACCAGACCCACCGGUCCCGCCA